UUUUCUGAACUAGUCAAUAGAGGUCGGCAACACAGACUUAAUCUGGCCAAGUGACUGUCUUUCUUUUUUUUUUUUUUUUUUUGGUUCUUUUUUUUUUUUUUUUCGGAGCUGGGGACCGAACCCAGGGCCUUGCGCUUCCUAGGCAAGCGCUCUACCAUUGAGCUAAAUCCCCAACCCCGUGACUGUCUUUCUUUUUCAGGCAAAGCAUUAAAGAGUCGAUACCAGUGCGUGGCCCCACCUGCGUUGUCAGCACUGACCUUGCCUGGUCCUUUUCCUUCUACUGUCCCUCAGUGCCUUCUCUCAGCUCCCAGGCCAAUGGCGGCCAGCCCUCCCAGAGACUUCGAUGUUUGCCUGCACCCUGGCCUGGUACCUGGACUUUCACUGGUGCCUUCUAGGCAUCUUUCAGAGCUGGCCCAGGAGGCUUGGAGCUUGGACAGUGUGCGGUCUUCUCCCUAUAUUGCCUCCUGAUCUUUUUUUUUUCCUUGUUUUGGAAAAAAGUCUACUUUUCCAUCAUAACUAGAUUUGAGGCUGGAUUCUUGAGCCCAGUCUUCCUUAGUCUCUGGACCUAGAAGGGACCAUUGGAGAAGCAGGCUCUACUUUCCUGCUGUUCUGGUGGCUGGGCCUAGCAGGGGUCUUUGCUCUUGAAGCCCAGGAUUGGGCAUGACCUGGUAGAAGCCUCUGCUCUACCUGCUUCCAUAUUCAGCUGCCUGGAGGAUGCUUUUCCCAGGACAGAUAGGUCCUGGGUCUCAGGGGUGGGAGGGGGGCAGCCUUCAAUGGCAGCUCAUACUUCAG
rnacentral:lncRNA from 1 species